AACGCACAUUGCGCCCCUUGGUAUUCCAUGGGGCAUGCCUGUUCGAGCGUCAUCUACACCCUCAAGCUCUGCUUGGUGUUGGGCGUCUGUCCCGCCUCCGCGCGCGGACUCGCCCCAAAUGCAUUGGCAGCGUCCCUUGCCCCCUCUCGCGCAGCACAUUGCGCUUCUCGAGGGCGGCUCCGGGGCGCGACCCACCGAAGAUGACCACCGUCUUUGACCUCGGAUCAGGUAGGGAUACCCGCUGAACUUAA
rnacentral:misc_RNA from 1 species